UCCGAACUGGUGUAACGGUUAACAUCUGUCGCUCUCAACCCACUAAAUGGGGUAGAUCCGACAAGCCCAGGGUUCGACUCCCUGGUUCGGAA